rnacentral:rRNA from 1 species
AAACUUUCAACAACGGAUCUCUUGGUUCUGGCAUCGAUGAAGAACGCAGCGAAAUGCGAUAAGUAAUGUGAAUUGCAGAAUUCAGUGAAUCAUCGAAUCUUUGAACGCACAUUGCGCCCCCUGGUAUUCCGGGGGGCAUGUCUGUCCGAGCGUCAUUA